UACGUAGGUGGCAAGCGUUGUCCGGAUUUAUUGGGUUUAAAGGGUGCGUAGGCGGCCCUGUAAGUCAGUGGUGAAAUACUCUAGCUUAACUAGAGGGGUGCCAUUGAUACUGCAGGGCUUGAGUACAGACGAGGUAGGCGGAAUUGACAGUGUAGCGGUGAAAUGCAUAGAUAUCGUCAAGAACUCCGAUAGUGAAGACAGCGUACUAGGCUGUAACUGACGCUGAGGCACGAAAGUGUGGGGAUCAAACAGG
rnacentral:rRNA from 1 species